GAGCCAGCCCGUGAGGGGCCCAGUACCGUUAAGUGGCAGAGCCGCGCGCAGCGCCUGCGCGGAGCCGCACGUGCCCGGCGCGGGGCCCGGGCGCGGGGCGGGUCCCUCCGCGGGGCCCAAGGGGUCGAGGCGUGAGGGGAGCGCGCGCGGGGAGGGGGGAUGACACACGGCCGCCCUCCCGCCACAGCCGCGCCCGGUGAGGUGACUCCCCGUCCCCCCGGGAGGCAGAGAGAAGAGGGAAGGCAAGGAGAGCUGGCGGGUCAAGGUGUGUCCUUCCUGUUGUAGAGCCUUCUCCCCGGGCUACACCAUCACCUUGCCUGAAAGGCCCAUGGGGCAGAUAGUGGCUUCCCUCCUUUCAUGGGUUCUCCUGCUGUCUUUGGACUGGAAAAGCUGAUCUGGAGCAUGCUGCAGGAGGUGGAAAUCUGCUCACUCCUUGGGGCCAAGUGCUUUGGCGAUGGAGGGAUUUUUUUUCUGUAUUCCUACACUUACAGGUUACCAAAGUUCGUAGAAAG
rnacentral:lncRNA from 1 species